GAUCACGUGGCCGCGGGAGGCGGCUCGGAGCGGUCCGUCCGCCUCACGCCGCGGCCGUCGCUCGCGUGUCGCCUGAAGCGAGUCCCGCCCGCGGGCACGCGGCAGAUAUUUGAGAAACGGCGUUGUGGGAUAUGAAUCACACAGCCACAGGCAAGCAUCAGAAUGAAAGGACUCAAAUGAGCAGAAAGUGCCAGGGCAGUAAUUGCAAGGAGCUGAAAUGUACAAGUAAUGACUGCAGAUACCCAACUGCUGGUUCUAUGAGAAUGAAGUUCAGUGUAAAGCAGUCACAUGCUGUCACUGUUUGGCAUAUGUAACUAUGCAUUGCUGGAAUGGGUGUACUUCUCUGUGCCUGCAGAGAGUAGCAUAUCUCACAUGAAAGUAGUCACGGAUGAGGAGCGGUUCUCUAUCAUUUUUUCCUGAGGUGUUGCUAAAGGAGAGAAGCAAAAUGGUCUAGGUAAACCUAUUAUCAUCUGUUUUCGUCAAGUCAAUAAGUAUUUCCUAUUCAGGGAAAUCAAAUGCCGCUGAGAAAGAAAAUAAAGUGAACAUUUGGCUUUUGCCUGUUGCUGUAAGACCAUAAUUCCAUAUUGUAACAGCCUCAAAACUUGUUGAUGGCAUAAGAAGAUGUGAGAACUGGAGACAAUAUUAGAAUGACACUGUUGACAGCUUUGUAAUUAACUUGUCCUUAAGCAGCAGGUUAUUUCCCAAAUACUUGUAGGUGUACAUUAGCAGUUAGAUUUCCCAAUUCCUUUUGCAGAUCAGAAACCAAGAGGGGAUCGAUUAAAGGAAGUCUGUUUUAUGUUCCAAGAGAACAAAUGUUCUGUAAUGUUUAUAAUGUCUAGAUUAAUCUGAAAAUUUAACAGUCAUUAUUCAGUAGUCUUUAAUUUGUGCUUUUUUCUAAUAUAAGUAGCAGAUGAAGUUUGUUAGGAAAUUUGUAUUAACAAAACAAAGAUUACUAUCUCAGCAAAAGAGAGAUAUUCUAUAUCCUAACACAGUAUGCCCAAGGAGUCACUUCUGCUAUUUUCAAGUUCUGUUACCAAUCAGAACCAGAUGUAUGUAGCUGUCUUUUGUUCAUGUUUGGCAAAUCCUCUGAAAUGUUGAAGAUGACCAGUGGUGAUUUGAGUGGUCCUCUGCUUUGUGUUGAGACGCAGCUCUGGCAACAUCACUUUUUAUCCAAGCUCCUUUGAGCAUAUCUCUGUUCCCUUCUUCACAGACAGUCUUGCAGAUUCUGUCUGACUUACACUGUCUCCAUGCUGUCAGUGUUGAUACUUUCUAAAUGUAGAAUCUCCAUGUUUU